rnacentral:rRNA from 1 species
AACGAACGCUGGCGGCAUGCCUAACACAUGCAAGUCGAACGAUUGCCUUCGGGUGAUAGUGGCGCACGGGUGCGUAACGCGUGGGAAUCUGCCCUUAGGUUCGGAAUAACAGCUGGAAACGGCUGCUAAUACCGGAUGAUAUCGCGAGAUCAAAGAUUUAUCGCCUGAGGAUGAGCCCGCGUUGGAUUAGGUAGUUGGUGGGGUAAAGGCCUACCAAGCCGACGAUCCAUAGCUGGUCUGAGAGGAUGAUCAGCCACACUGGGACUGAGACACGGCCCAGACUCCUUCGGGAGGCAGCAGUGGGGAAUAUUGGACAAUGGGCGCAAGCCUGAUCCAGCAAUGCCGUGUGAGUGAUGAAGGCCCUAGGGCUGUAAAGCUCUUUUACCCGGGAAGAUAAUGACUGUACCGGGAGAAUAAGCCCCGGCUAACUCCGUG